rnacentral:rRNA from 1 species
GGUGAACGCUGGCGGUAGGCCUAACACAUGCAAGUCGAACGGCAGCACAGUAAGAGCUUGCUCUUACGGGUGGCGAGUGGCGGACGGGUGAGGAAUACAUCGGAAUCUACUUUUUCGGGGGGGAUAACGUAGGGAAACUUACGCUAAUACCGCAUACGACCUACGGGUGAAAGCAGGGGAUCUUCGGACCUUUCGCGAUUGAAUGAGCCGAUGUCGGAUUAGCUAGUUGGCGGGGUAAAGGCCCACCAAGGCGACGCUCCGUAGCUGGUCUGAGAGGAUGAUCAGCCACACUGGAACUGAGACACGGUCCAGACUCCUACGGGAGGCAGCAGUGGGGAAUAUUGGACAAUGGGCGCAAGCCUGAUCCAGCCAUACCGCGUGGGUGAAGAAGGCCUUCGGGUUGUAAAGCCCUUUUGUUGGGAAAGAAAAGCAGCAGGUUAAUACCCCGCUGUUCUGACGGUACCCAAAGAAUAAGCACCGGCUAACUUCGUG